rnacentral:rRNA from 1 species
UCGGGAAUUUUGGACAAUGGGUGAGAGCCUGAUCCAGCCAUGCCGCGUGCAGGAAGAAGGCGUUAUGCGUUGUAAACUGCUUUUGCCAGGGGAUAAAAUGACCGUGCGCGGUUAAUUGAAGGUACCUGGUGAAUAAGCCACGGCUAACUACGUGCCAGCAGCCGCGGUAAUACGUAGGUGGCAAGCGUUGUCCGGAUUUAUUGGGUUUAAAGGGUGCGUAGGUGGCCCUGUAAGUCAGUGGUGAAAUAUCUCAGCUUAACUGAGAGGGUGCCAUUGAUACUGCAGGGCUUGAGUACAGAUGAGGUAGGCGGAAUUGACGGUGUAGCGGUGAAAUGCAUAGAUAUCGUCAAGAACACCGAUAGCGAAGGCAGCUUACCAAGCUGUAACUGACACUGAGGCACGAAAGUGUGGGGAUCAAACAGGAUUAGAUACCCAGUAGUCCCUGAGCGGGCUGGCAAGGCGCAU